GAUUUUCCAACCCAGAAUGCAGUCCAAAUUGCUGACAACCUUUCCAAUUUGGGUCAGCUGUAUAAUAGAGAUGACAUUUCUAGCGAUAUUCCGAACUUUGGAAUAAUUGGAUCUAUACAACAACAACAUACCCAGUAUAUUCCCACAAAGUGGGUCUGGGAAGGAUAGAGUGAACGCAGUCCAUACCACUACCUCGGAUGAAGUAGAAAGGCAAUAAUUGGAUCUAUAAACUAGGUAAUUUCUUGACUUCAGGAACAUUCUGAUAUUUGUCCUCUUUUAUCUUCUGUUCUGCAAGGCAAGGGGUCAAGUUAUUGGGGAAGAUGGAGUACGUGUUCACAGCUUGGUUCUACCAGGGCUCCCAUCUAGUACAGCAGUUUACUUCUCAAGGCCAGGAGAGGUGUGCUUCUGAACUGUAGUCUCGGUUCGCUAUGGUAGACAGUGGCCAUAGAUUCUCCCUCGUAUUAUGAAAAUCUCAUCUAUGACUGCUGUUGAUCAGGUUUACACACUAAAGCAUGAUAUUACAGAUGUGCAAUGUCUCAUGCCAGGCUUAAUUCUGGCCAUUAGAAAAGUUGUUCGCCUCAAGAACCUGGUCUAUGGUUUGGAGAAGUUUUUAUAAGCAGACACUGAAGGCUAAAGGAACAGAAGGCAACACUGAGAUGUCUUGUAAAGAGUACACAAA